rnacentral:tRNA from 1 species
AUCACUGUUAAUGAUAAAAUUGAAUAAUUAUAUUCCAAUUAAACGAAAUAUAAAGUUUAAAAUUAAGC